UGAUAGUUCAAAAAUCUAGUGGAGGGCUCUCACCAGAACCCAACUGUGGAACCACCGAAGCAGUGGAGGAAGAUUUAUAGGACAUGUGCUAGCUCUUUCUUUGAUGAAUAGCAAGCUAGAAGAUAUUUAAAAUAGAAAUCUACAUGCUGAUCAGCACCAUGAGGUCACUGACUGCUUUUGCAGACAUACAGGGGAGGAAACGAAGAGCCUAAGUUCACUACAGCUGGGCUGUCUUUGAAGCCAAGGGCAGCAAGAGGAGUGUUUCACCUUUUGUGUCACAUUAAAGAGUUUCAAGGACAGGGAUGGGUAAGUUCAAGGAUCCCUGCCUAGGGAAUGGUGCUACCCAUAGUGGAUGGAUCUUCCCACCUCAAUUGAUGUAAUCAACACCCCAAUCCUGAACAUGAAAAGAGGCUCAUCUCCUAGAACAUCUCAGCUGCGUCUGUUGGCUCAUAGUUGUAUUCCCAGGUAGAAUGACUGCGACUUUGAGGCCAGUCUGGGCUACACUGAACCUCUCUGUCUCACGACGCCGACGCCGAUGCGGGCACCGACCACCACCACCACCACCACCACCAGAAGAAGAAGAAGAAAAAGGAAAAGGAAAAGGAGUAGAGAAUUUCAUGAGCAACACACUAUCAUGUGUUCACUCCUCAAUAUUCCCUUCUGAAAAGGAGUCCAGACAUCCCCUUCAACCAAACAGCAGUACAUUGAUGUACACUGAUGUCCAAUCACUAACGAAUGAGAAGUGUGGGAAGGGUCCCUUUCCACCCUGUAUCCUAUGGCUGCUGGUGUGGUCCUUGGAGGAUUUCUAUAUCUUUUUUUCUUUCUUUUUUCCCCCUUUCUUUCU